CCGUCUCGAUCUGCUGCGGGCUGAUGAAAUGCACGUGCGAAUCGAUGCCGCCGGCGGUGACGAUCCGGCCCUCGCCCGCGAUCACCUCCGUGGAGACGCCGACGAUCAGGUUCGGAUCGACGCCGUCCAUCAGGUCGGGGUUGCCCCCCUUGCCGAUGCCGACGAUCAGGCCGUCCUUGAUGCCGAUGUCGGCUUUCACGAUGCCCCAAUGGUCGAUGAUGACCGCGUUCGUAAUGAUCGUGUCGAGCACGCCGUCAUCGCGCCGCGCCCGGCUCGACUGCCCCAUGCCGUCGCGG
rnacentral:sRNA from 1 species